rnacentral:rRNA from 1 species
GAUGAACGCUGGCGGCGUGCUUAACACAUGCAAGUCGAACGGUGAACGAGGGAGCUUGCUCCCUCCGGAUCAGUGGCGAACGGGUGAGUAACACGUGAGCAAUCUGCCCUGGACUCUGGGAUAAGCGUUGGAAACGACGUCUAAUACCGGAUACGAGGCGUGGGGGCAUCCCCAACGCCUGGAAAGAACUUCGGUCCAGGAUGAGCUCGCGGCCUAUCAGGUAGUUGGUGAGGUAAUGGCUCACCAAGCCUACGACGGGUAGCCGGCCUGAGAGGGUUACCGGCCACACUGGGACUGAGACACGGCCCAGACUCCUACGGGAGGCAGCAGUGGGGAAUAUUGCGCAAUGGGCGCAAGCCUGAUGCAGCAACGCCGCGUGAGGGACGACGGCCUUCGGGUUGUAAACCUCUUUUAGCAGGGAAGAAGCGAAAGUGACGGUACCCACAGAAGAAGCCCCGGCUAACUCCGUGCCAGCCGCCGCCGUAAGAC